GGAUUAGGCAUGCAAGUCGAACGUGAAAGGUUUCGCAAGAGACCGAGUAAAGUGGCGGAAGGGUGAGUAAUGCAUAUAUAACUUACCUCUGAGAAGGGAAUAACUACUCGAAAGGGUGGCUAAUACCCUAUAAGAUCAUGGGCCGCAUGGUUCAUGCUUAAAGAUGGGGACCUGCAAGGGCCUUUCGCUCAGAGAGAGGUUUAUGUCCUAUUAGCUAGUUGGUGAGGUAACUGCUCACCAAGGCAAUGAUGGGUAGCCGACCUGAGAGGGUGACCGGCCACACUGGGACUGAGACACUGCCCAGACUCCUACGGGAGGCUGCAGUCGAGAAUCUUCCGCAAUGCGCGAAAGCGUGACGGAGCGACGCCGCGUGGGUGAUGAAGGCCUUCGGGUUGUAAAGCCCUGUUAGCUGGGAAGAAUGGCAAAAGGUUAAUAGCCUCUUGUCUGACGUUACCAGCGGAGGAAGCACCGGCUAAAUACGUGCCAGCAGCCGCGGUAAUACGUAUGGUGCGAACGUUGUUCGGAAUUACUGGGCAUAAAGAGCACGUAGGCGGUUUAGUAAGUCUGAUGUGGAAUCCCCCAGCUCAACUGGGGAACUGCAUUGGAAACUGCUGAACUAGAGUGCAGGAGGGGAGAGUGGAAUUCCAGGUGGAGCGGUGAAAUGCGUAGAUAUCUGGAGGAACGCCGGUGGCGAAAGCGACUCUCUGGUCUGCAACUGACGCUGAGGUGCGAAAGCUAGGGGAGCAAACGGGAUUAGAUACCCCGGUAGUCCUAGCCCUAAACGAUGGGCACUAAGUAGAGGGGUUUU
rnacentral:rRNA from 1 species